rnacentral:tRNA from 1 species
GCCUCCGUGGUGUAGUGGUCAGCACGCUCGACGCGUAACCGAGAGGUCCGUGGUUCGAUUCCCGGCGAAGGCG